AGCAGCCGCGGUAAUUCCAGCUCCAAUAGCGUAUAUUAAAGUUGUUGCAGUUAAAAAGCUCGUAGUUGAAUUUCGGGAUUAGUACGCUGGUCGUGCCUUUGGUAUGUACUGGUGUUACUGGUUCCUACCUUCUGACGAACCGUCAUGUCAUUAAUUUGGUGUGGCGGGGAAUCAGGACUGUUACUUUGAAAAAAUUAGAGUGUUUAAAGCAGGCUCGCGCUUGAAUACAUUAGCAUGGAAUAAUGAAAUAGGACGUUUGACCCUAUUUUGUUGGUUUCUAGGAUCGACGUAAUGAUUAAUAGGGAUAGUUGGGGGCAUUAGUAUUCAAUUGUCAGAGGUGAAAUUCUUGGAUUUAUUGAAGACUAACUACUGCGAAAGCAUUUGCCAAGGAUGUUUUCAUUAAUCAAGAACGAAAGUUAGGGGAUCGAAGACGAUCAGAUACCGUCGUAGUCUUAACCAUAAACUAUGCCGACUAGGGAUCGGAUGAUAAUUUAUUAAUAACUCAUUCGGCGCCUUACG
rnacentral:rRNA from 1 species